rnacentral:hammerhead_ribozyme from 1 species
AUCCAGCUGACGAGUCCCGAAUGGAGCGAAACACGCUUCCUGAAU